UUGAAAGCCAAUUGUUGUUUGUGUUAUUCCCAUUCUCUCAUCUCCUUAUCCAAUCCCUUCUUUAAAGAGAGCCAUGUAUGUGAGAAUCUUGUACAGUCUAGUCUUUCUUUCUAUCUCUUGUGCUUCUCUAAAGCUUUGCCAUUUCCUGCUAAAACCACUGCUAAAACCAUUGAUUGGCUAGUAGGUGUGGUGGUUUAUCAUAAUGGGUGGCCAUACAAGAUGUUGUAUACAUGUCUCAAUGUAAGAAGAUAUAUGGAUUGAUUUUUUGAUGUAUUUUCAGGUUGUUUGUCUAGAACUCAUUCUUUUGCUUUUGUAUCUCCAUUUCUAAGUAAUUAAAAGAUUCGAUGCUCCCGCCGGUAUAAGCUCCCUCAGUAGAAAACCUAUAUCGGAGUAGUUUUAGGACCACGAACUUCCUAGAUGUAGACUCCUCAAUUCAGCUACCAGCCACCAAAAAAAACGAAAAGAAAAGAUAAGUCAUAUGCACACUGAAAAUAAUGAAGUCCUAAGAUUGAGUGAAGACCAUCCAAAAUUUUGGACAUAUAUAUAUAUAG
rnacentral:lncRNA from 1 species